rnacentral:rRNA from 1 species
AGCGCCGCGGAGCUCGCUCCCGGGGCUACCUACUCCCGUAGGGUUUAGAGUCGUCGGGCCUCUCGGAGAAGCUCGGUCCUGAACUCCACCCUUGAAUAAACUACCUUUGUUGCUUUGGCGGGCCGCCUCGUGCCAGCGGCUUCGGCUGUUGAGUGCCCGCCAGAGGACCCCAACUCUUGUUUUUAGUGAUGUCUGAGUACUAUAUAAUAGUUAAAACUUUCAACAACGGAUCUCUUGGUUCUGGCAUCGAUGAAGAACGCAGCGAAAUGCGAUAAGUAAUGUGAAUUGCAGAAUUCAGUGAAUCAUCGAAUCUUUGAACGCACAUUGCGCCCUCUGGUAUUCCGGGGGGCAUGCCUGUUCGAGCGUCAUUAUAACCACUCAAGCUCUCGCUUGGUAUUGGGGUUCGCGGUUUCGCGGCCCCUAAAAUCAGUGGCGGUGCCUGUCGGCUCUACGCGUAGUAAUACUCCUCGCGAUUGGGUCCGGUAGGUCUACUUGCCAGCAACCCCUAAUUUUUUUAAGGUUGACCUCGGAUCAGGUAGGGAUACCCGCUGAACUUAAGCAUAUCAAU